UGGAGAGUUACUUAUUUCUGUUUUAGGUCCCCUUUGCGUUUCCUCACUCCCGCGCCCCCUUCUCUCCGACACGCCGCGGCGGCGGAGCUCCGGCGAGCAUCCGCCGCGACGGGCCAGGGGGCAACGGUUCGGCGGCGGGGGGACAUGCUCAAUCUGGCCGCCAAUCCGAGUGAGACGGGAGUCCAGCUGCUACGACGCUGGUAUGUGCGGUGCUAGCGAGCGUUCAAGAGAUCGGCGGCGGAUGUGGUCGAAGGGAGAAUCCGCUGUGCUUCCACUACGGCUGGCCAUCCAUCCCCUAUUGAACUUGAAAUUGAAAGCUAUGGCUUGAAAUCUGGCAGAGAAAUGAUUUCAGAAUCUCCCGUGCUGCACGGUCUUUCUGAUCUUCGAUUGAGGUGACCAGGUGGUUGUAGCAUCGACGUUCAAACUCGGAGAAGAUAUCCUGGGCAGGACAGCACUCACAGUCAGCCAAAUCAAUAGCCCACACCAACAUUACUUAGAGCAUGCAAUGAUGCGAUGCGAGUCGAGAUAAAGAGAAAAUAUCACAGUCAUACUUUCAAAUCAAGCGCUGCGUAUGUCCUCUUUACUUCAGAAACAGACCUUGAAUCCUUCUUCCCAUAGUUCUUCUGUGAAUGUGUAUGUGUGGUGUUAUUUCUGUUCAUCUCCACACUUUUCAGUUAGAACGAAAUGGUAACUUACACUUACAUGUAAUACUUCUAUUUGAUUGCUGUUAGCAUGACCCAGAGCCUCCACUAUUAACCAGGAGCACUUAUGAUCUUCGAUGUCAGUUCCCAUCUUCAAUAUAGAAUAAUGUCAGCUGUUCUCUGUUUCUGAAAACUAUUUUGAUAUUUGUUGUUACCUUGCCUAUGGUGUUGGGGUCAGCAAAACAGUCCAGGUAGUCAUCCUGACAAGAGGUUCCUGAACUGUCAAACUAAAGAUAAGAGCAAAGCAUUGGCCACCUAUAUAAAGCCGUAGAGGAAAAUAUGAACAUACUGCGCGGACUGAAUAUACAUGGCAUGGAUAAUGGAUUACCAAGCAAUCUAUUGUGUGACACAAUUAUCAUCUGAAGAAUGGAAGUUCUGUCUUUAAAAGAUUCAUGCAACAACUAAAAACAGAUCUUACAGUUCCACUGCCUAUAAUACUCAGAUAUAUGACACUGAGAGAAGUGAAAAGGUAGGAUUGCAUGAGUUUUGGUCUUCCAGACUUACAGGAAGGUAAAAGGAGUAGUAGGCUGUCUUGUACUUAACAAUGCGACGGUAGCUACAUGACAAAAGAAAAGAUAGUUACUCCCUCCUUUCUAAAAUAUAACUACUUUUAGAAUAGUGCGA